rnacentral:rRNA from 1 species
UACGAAGGGGGCUAGCGUUGUUCGGAAUUACUGGGCGUAAAGCGCGUGUAGGCGGGUCCUUAAGUCAGGGGUGAAAUGCCAAGGCUCAACCUUGGAACUGCCUUUGAUACUGGGGAUCUUGAGUCCGGGAGAGGUGAGUGGAAUUGCGAGUGUAGAGGUGAAAUUCGUAGAUAUUCGCAAGAACACCAGUGGCGAAGGCGGCUCACUGGCCCGGAACUGACGCUGAGACGCGAAAGCGUGGGGAGCAAACAGG